AAGAGGUGCUAAGUGCUUCUGUUAUACAUUGUUAUAUAACUUUAGGCAUCUGAGUUUGAAAAUAUGCAUUGUUUUCUUGCAAGUUUUGUUAAACAGUGAAUUGAGGGCUAGCAAAUUGAAGAUCCUUUCUGCACCAUGGAGAAUAACCCUAGCAAAAAUAAAUAGCUGUGAAUACACAUCUGAUGAAGAGAAGAUAAAUAACAAUGAUUUUUUUUCCAGAAAACAUCUGUAGAAACAACAAAAUUAAAACAAAAAAUACUUUGCUGCAAAAGACCAACUUUUUCUUCUGGAGGACACAAGAAUGUUUUUCAUUAACAUGAAUCAUGGGAAACAUCGCAGCUUCAUCUAUUCAGGCCUGACAUACGAUUUCUAUCAAGGGCACAUUUCGUUUACCCUAGCCUUAUUCAGCACUGCUCUUAUGCAGCAGUCUCUGCCAGCUGUUUUUACUGCUGUUUGCUAGUAAUUGAUUGCUUUGUUCCUGGUCUGUGAAAUAAUGUCACUUAGUCCUUAAGCUUCUAGUGGGCUACUGGUUUCUUUCUUACCAAAUAUUAAUUGUGCCAAAAAAUAGAGAGAGGUCCCAAACAAACCCUAGAUUUGAACUCCCCUGAUUUUUGGUAAAGUUCAGACCCAGAUCAGAGUUUUUCAGCUUUGCCUCAGCUCUGCGUAUAGUACAGUAUAUCAAGUAUUCCAUAUCCUUUAACAUAACACUAACUUACUAAAAUGUCUGCUUCCUUAUGUAGCAGCCACAUGUUCUAUUUUUAUCUCACCAGUGAAUACAAGAAGUUAAAUUACCCACAGAAACAGUUCUCCCAUUACUAAUGGUCAUGUGGCUCCAGGAGCUGGGAGAUCAAAAAGGGCAGAGUAAGUGUCUGAAAAUAUCCCUGGGAACAGACAAUAAAUGGACAGAUGUGUGCAUUUCACAUCAAACAAGUAGAGGAAGAAAUAACUAGUAGACACAGUGGCUUUUAGAAAGCUUUUUAUGUAAAAGACACUGCUUCUAAAAUGAGGAGACAUUCGCUUUAUGGAUUUCCAACAUGUCUUACUUGAACCUGUGCAUUGUGCCUCCAAAGGACAAUUAGGUCUCUCAGACUUUGACAGGACUGCUGUGUGAGUAAACGCUCACCAACACGAGGAAGGGUUGAACAGUCUAGUCCACAAUAAAGGACAAAUUUCAAUAUCCUUUUAAGUUGAUGGAAUUUUUACCAUUGACUGAAACGGGAACAGAAUUUGGUCUUGAGGAAGAAUUCAAGUGAAGGGAUUCCCCUGUUAUGCAUUCAAGGAUUGCAUUAGUUCUUUUGGCUACAGCAUCAUACUGGAAGCUCAUGCUCAGGUGAUUAUCCAAAUCUUUUUCAGAGUUACUGCUUCCCAGAAUAGAGUCCCCCAGCAUGAUCUACAGCUCCUGACAGUAAAACUAUGCUGCCAAGAGGGCAGGCGCAGCACCCCAAACACCACAGAAGUAGAUGGAGAAGGACUCUGGAAAAGCUGCUCAUAGGGAUGUACAGGAGAAACUCAGAGCAAUUUGAAUUUCAUCAGGCAAGGAAGGAGCGGGCUCUUCAGCAGAAGGAGACACUUAUGAACUGGUUCAUGGACAUGGAGAUGCGCCAUAGGGAACAGAAGCAUCCCUUAAUGGAGAGGUUCAUCAAACUGGUGGCUGAAAGAGUGUGGUAUCCUAUCCACCUCCUGCUAAGGCCCCAGAGCCCGCCCACCUCCUCUGACUGCUGCUCAGGGUGCUACCAAACUGGCGGAUCCUGUUGCAGUGAUCCACCCCUAACAGAGCAGAAAGAGAAUGAUGAGCUGGCGGGAGACCCAGAACACCACCAUGGAUAACCCCUAACUCCCUUGCUGGAGAAGUCCCUGGUUCUCACCAAGAGUCAGUGUCCCCUGUCGUUCACCCCUUCUGAUGAGGAGGGGAAGGAGAUGGGUGCAAAUAUGCUAAGCUGUGAGCAUGCCCACACAGCUGGGGUCGGUUUGGGCAACCAGCGCGGAUGGGGGAGGCCCAGGGCUACUCCGGCGGCAGGGGGUGGGGGUUUGGGCUUCUGGCCAGCCCAGGGCUUCUUCGGCUGUUGGGUGGGAGGCUCAUGGCUGUGGCCAUAGGAGGCAGGGCCUCUUGCAGAAGAGGUGGGGUCGGGGGCUAGCCUCCCUGAAGGAGGGAAGUCCACCCUCCACCCAUGGCCACAAGCUUCCCACCUGACAUAAUGUGUAAAAAAAUCUGGUGCCACUAUAGUGCAAAUAUUUUUGAGUCUCCCCUUCCCCGCAAGAUUCAGAAAUCCGUUAAGUUGUAUGGUGCAAUGUAUGGCAUUAUGUGCUUUAAAAAGCACUGCUAAUUUUCUAAGCAGCAGAUGUUUAAAACAAACAAAAAGGGGUCAAUCAAUAUCUUAUGGGCUUUAUUACACAUGUUGAAAAUCUAAACCCAAUAAUAAAGGAAGAGGGAACAUGGCAAUAAUAGCAUCUGCCAGUAUACUCCUCCCACGCAAAAACAAACAAACUUUAAGCAGUUUCAACCAUGCCAGGGAGCAGUGCUCUCUAACAGCCAUUAAUUGUAUUUACCACUGCUGACAAGAAUAGGUCAGAAAACACAAUGGAUGCAAUACUCUCCAACCGAAGCAGCAAACCGUCAUAAGCUUGUUAAAAAAGCUUCCAAUAAGAGAGCUAACAAAGUGUGUAUAGUAAAGUCAAAAACAUGACACAAUGACCAUAUAACUCGGCUGCCAUGCUACAUGGCACAAAUCCAACCCCAACACCCUAACCCAGUGGAGGUGCUCUGCUAUCAUUGUCUUUAAUGUGUGCCAUGUCACAUGAACGAAUGGCUAAUGACCUUCGGCUACAGGCGAAAAAAACCCUCGCAAAGCUAUAUAGCCCCAUAAACAUGUACCAAUGUUCCCUCGUAUUUUUCCAGCAGCUUUACAUCUUGUGUCCCUGUUGUGCCAAGAUGUGUGCCCGUAUGGCAUCUCUGAUUUCCCUUGCCCAUUGGGAACCAGGCCCAGUUUACCUAUAGUUGGGAUCCAGCUGCCUGUACAGAGUUUGUAAACUAGAGUUAUCCUGAGUCCAUUUGGGAUGGAACCAAUUCCCUUUACCCAGCAGCAGGCAACAAUUAUACAGACAGGAUUUGCCACAUUGACAUCCAGCUGGGUGCACUGGCUUCCCUAAUGAACUUUCAGCCUAUCAAAUGUCCACUCCAUGACCAUUCUGCAGGUACUUUACUUGUAGCUGAAUUCCUUUUCUCCGGGGUUAUUGCUGUUGGGGUACUCUUUUAGGAGCCAAGUCUGGAGUGUGUAUAACAGUUAGCACAGACAUGCCAUACAGAACCAUAUUAUUUCUGAAAAAUAAAAUCCCUUCUUCCCCCUUCAAGUACAAUCCUGAUCUUCUCAACAUCCUGGUGUCAUGCCCUUUCCCAAGUUUUCCACAUUUGUAUUCAGGAAUCAGCCUCUGUGGUCCACUAAAUCUUGCAGGACGAUCAAAUAGUAACAUUUUCCAUUCACAUACUCACUUGACCCGUGUGGUGGGCAAAGUACUGGGGUAUAGGUGCCAUUACUGGCCCCUGCACAGUUUGGAAAGCCCAUCCUUGGAAACUCAGCUAUUAUUGCUAGAACUUUUCUUAUGGCAACCAUUGUGGGUAAACAACAACGUUAACUGCCUCACAGACAUGCAAAACCACAACCCUCAACCAUAGACGUUCCAACCCCCAAAUGGUUUGCACUGAAUCUAUAGCUUGCCAGAUUCCACAGGGCAAUAGCCACCUGAUUCUACAGUCAUAUAGCUUCCAUGAAGCAAGUGUUCAGGUGCUGGAGCGUUGGUGCAAGAUCUUCACACACUUCCAUUAAAGUCUGUUUCCCCAUUCAGACGUUCUGAAGCCACCUACUAGUCAUCCCAGGUUUCCAAAACUAUAUGAUCCCACCAGACGGUGCUGGUGCUCCUGUAUCAGAUGCAUACUGACAUUCACCGUAUCUGUACAGUGUGACCUGAAAGACAUGUCAUUGAAACCUCAAGGUCAGCUGCCAUUGACAUAUCACCCAAUGCUACCCAAAUUCCAUUCAGCAUCUCAGCGAUUGCCUACUCCAUUGCCUAACCAUUUGUCCCUCAAUAAGGAGCAGGAGCAGAACUGGAUCAUCAUCCCGUUACUUCAUGUCUUCCACCCAGUUUUGCAGGAAUAACAGUGAGAUGUGACGUAAUCAGAAAUUGCCAUUGGCAAAUGUGUAAAGGCAGGUGACAGUACCAACAAAACACAGGAGAGCAGGUCUUAGAGUGUCUCUCUAUGAUGCAGAGAACCCAAGAUACCUCCCUAAGUGGUAGUGCUAAUGUUAUGUAACAAUAGCACUAUGUCGAUGCAGGUAUGCGCGUGUAUACAGUGUUAGACCCGUGUCCAGCAGAAUGUGGAUGGUCAGGCAUGGGUAUGGAAAGUACACAGGAGAAUUACAUGCUUCACUACUUGGGUACAUGCAUAAGUGUAGACAGAGCUAUAAAGUUGGCUGAAAAAUAGUGGAGAAAAAAUGGUGCACAUUUUGUCAAAUUUUCCAUUUUUUCCAUUAAAAUUCAAACUUUUUGAUUUAAAACCAUUAAAAUUUUAAAACCCUAGAAAUUUUCCACAGUUCUAAUGUGAUUUUUUAAAUAUAUCAAUACAAGCACCUGGAAAAUACAUACCAUUAAAGAAAAAGCCCAUCCAACUCUAUGCUUUCUCCAUUCAUGACAGAGUCUCAAGAGGGUCAAAUUUCAUUUGAACUUUGUCUAAGUGCAUUACACCACCAGGUGGAGAACUGUCAUUUUAAUCGCAGCAUUAAUGGCCAUACAAAUUGACUUUGUUGCUCCCUCCUGCCCCAACCUGUAACAGACUGAUUAUGGGCUAUGGAUCUCAAGGUUUUUUACUAUCAGUGUUUACUAAUAUUCAAUAGUAAAAGAAAAAUAACAUGAGAGUGAUGAACUGUUGACUUCAUACUUUUGGGCACUUGGGUGUGCCAUUUUGUGAUGUCCCAAAAAUAGAAAUUCAGGGCCUAAAUGCACACAACUGUUACCAGCUAGAGUAAUGUAAUUCAACUAGAGAUGUAGCAUUGAGGACCUUCUUCAAAAAGACAGGCUCCUAGCAGCAGAGUUGAAGGGAAAGUCUGUAGAAGCUGGAAAUGAAAAAGAACUAUUAAGUCAACCAUUUUAUUCCACAGCAAAUGUAGGAUUGUUCCCUACAGUACAUUAUGAUGCUCAUGAUUAUAUUAACCUUAUGUUCUACGUUUUAUUAUAUAAACCACUUUUUUUUCAUCUGUCCAGAGCGUGCUUUCUGUCUGUCUAGAUUCAUAAACAGCACCCACCGUCUUCGUCAUUAGCAAAUUCAUUCCUUUUCAUUUGAAAAUGUCCAUGCCUGGUAUCUUUCUGAAGGCGAAUAUUUGUGGAAAAUUUGAUUACAAAUAUAUUUUUUUGAGCUAUGUAAGUGUGAAACAGUACACCCUUCACAGCUGCUACAGUCAUAGAAUUUGUACUUAAACCCUGGCUUAUGUAUGUCCCACUGAGGGCUAUGAGUCAAGCCAAAUUUUAAAUAAACUCAUUCAGUAGUUUUAAAGUUCUGAAUGCUUAAAAUCAGUAAAUAUUUCCUCAAAUUAGGACAACAGAUGCCAAUAGCAUUUGGAAAGUAUCAGGAGAUUUCAGAGUUUGGGACAGUCCCACAAUUAUGUGUCACUUCUACCAAAGGUAUCAGAGGGGUAGCCGUGUUAGUCUGAAUCUGUAAAAAGCAACAGAGG